CCUACGGGCGGCAGCAGUGAGGAAUAUUGGUCAAUGGGCGCGAGCCUGAACCAGCCAAGUCGCGUGAGGGAAGACGGUCCUAUGGAUUGUAAACCUCUUUUGUCGGGGAGCAAAAGACGCCACGCGUGGCGUUCCGAGAGUACCCGAAGAAAAAGCAUCGGCUAACUCCGCGCCAGCAGCCGCGGUAAUACGGGGGAUGCGAGCGUUAUCCGGAUUUAUUGGGUUAAAAGGGUGCGCAGGCGGAAGAUCAAGUCAGCGGUAAAAUUGAGAGGCUCAACCUCUUCGAGCCGUUGAAACUGGUUGUCUUGAGUGAGUGAGAAGUAUGCGGAAUGCGGGGUGAGGCGGGGAAAGGCAUAGAUAUCACGCAGAACUCCGAUUGCGAAGGCAGCAUACCGGCGCUCAACUGACGCUCAUGCACGAAAGUGUGGGUAUCGAACAGGAUUAGAUACCCUGUAGUC
rnacentral:rRNA from 1 species